UACAGAGGGUGCGAGCGUUAAUCGGAAUUACUGGGCGUAAAGGGCGCGUAGGCGGCGCACCAAGUCAGGCGUGAAAGCCCUGGGCUCAACCCGGGAAUUGCGCUUGAGACUGGUGUGCUUGAGUACGGGAGAGGAUAGUGGAAUUCCUGGUGUAGCGGUGAAAUGCGUAGAUAUCAGGAGGAACACCGGCGGCGAAGGCGGCCCUCUGGAUCGUUGCUGACGCUGAGGCACGAAAGCGUGGGGAGCAAACAGG
rnacentral:rRNA from 1 species